GAUGAACGCUGGCGGCGUGCUUAACACAUGCAAGUCGAACGAAGCAUUUGAGUGGAAGCUUUCGGGUGGAAGCUUGAAUGACUUAGUGGCGGACGGGUGAGUAACGCGUGGGUAACCUGCCUUGUACAGGGGGAUAACAGUUAGAAAUGACUGCUAAUACCGCAUAACCCUUUAGUGCCGCAUGGCACGGAAGGAAAAGAUUUAUCGGUACAAGAUGGACCCGCGUCUGAUUAGCUAGUUGGUGAGGUAACGGCCCACCAAGGCGACGAUCAGUAGCCGACUUGAGGGAGUGAUCGGCCACAGUGGGACUGAGACACGGCCCGGACCCCCACGGGGGCUGCAGUAACGAAUCUUGGGCAAUGGGCGAAAGCCUGACCCAGCGACGCCGCGUGCGGGAGGAAGUCCUUCGGGAUGUAAACCGCUGUCAGGGAAAGGAAAGUCCACUUCGGUGGAUUGAUCCGACCCAGAGGAAGUCACGGCUAACUCUGUGCCAGCAGCCGCCGUAACAC
rnacentral:rRNA from 1 species